UUAGUUAGUUUAUGAUGCAGCAGGAUGGACAGUGAUCAGAAAACCAAAGCAGCAGAUGAUAAAAAUGAGAAGAGCAACCAACAAUUUCACAGAAGUGCUGCUACUGUACUGGAGAAAGAGGGAAGGUUUACAAAGGGAAAGUUUCUACUAAAUUAAAAUAUAAGCAUUUGGCUCAUAAGGAAACGAAACACCUUUUCGUUGUUUCGUUGCAGGGUUUUUUUUUUAACAGGGAGUAAGUGUGAAAGCUGAAGAGAAAAGAGAUGAAGACAACACAAAUUGAUUGUUAGUUGGAAGACAGUGUUAGAAUGCCCUUGCCUAAGUAACUUUUCCCUCUGAAAAGUUUCUUGGCAGGCUUUCUCUACUGCGAGGCUGUGUUUAUACUUGUAAAUUAAACAUAUCAGGAAAUCUUGGACACAAAGAGCAACUGGCACGAAAUGGCCCCCAUCUCUACUAGCAAAUUCUCUUAUCUUCCAAAACAGAGCAGUGGGACAGAAACUGCUCGAGAACUGACCUUAGAAGGAGUCCUCACACCAGGCAAGGAAGGUGCCUCACAGAGUGCUGGUUCUCACAGGACAAAUCCCUGCCAGGGACUGUUGUCACAGAUACCAGUUGGUAAGAUAGGAGAGGGAGCAUUUUCUGAUGUCCUGCAGACACUGAGUCUUAGGAGUGGAAAGUACUAUGCAUGUAAACACAUGAAGCAACAUUUUGAAAGGAAGGAGAAAGCCAUUGCCUGAAAAAAAAUUAAGAACAACGUGUACCAGUUAUGCAAAUCUCGAAUGCACACAUAGAAACAGGAUAUUUCAGAGAGAUGUGAAAUCAGAAAAAAUAAUAAAGGUCUUUCUUUUAAUGAUGUACAGAAUGGUACAUGCACAUACUAUGGGACAGAGAUUACCUUCAAGCCUGGAGCUACUUGCUAUUUAAAUGCAGAAUACCUUGAAGUUGGGAGAUUUUGGAUCCUGUAGGGUAUCUGUUCUCAGCAGGCACAUAUGGGCUGUGCCUCCCCACGCUGGUACCAAACACCUGAAUGUUUCCUUGCAAAUGGCCACUAAAGUUACAAAAUGGGUAUGUGCAGUGCUGGCUGUGUUUUCUGUGAAAUCACAAGGUACAGUGUUCAGUGGAAGGCUUUUCUUAUUGUUAUUCAAGGUAAUCAAAAGUAAAUAAAUUAAGGGCACGUGGUAACAUGAUCUUCGUUUCCAUGGAUUUGUGGAAGCUUCUUCUGUGCUUAAUCUGCAGGGUUCAUGAGGCAGUAAUCCGGUCUGGCCUGGCACUCUCUUCACCCUAUGGCAGUUUUCUUGGACCUGAUGAGCUGGACCAAAUUUCAAAAAUCCACAUUAUAGGCACUCUUGCUAAAACAACUCUCAAGAAGUUCAAGCAAACCUGGUGGAGGAGGAGGUUGGUUAAAAAUAACAUGAAAAGGAUUCUUUGAGCUCAAGUAUUAGGAAUGGAAUGUUAUCUACAGAAUAAUCUCAAGAGCAAGAAUGGAAAAAUAUCCCACCCUGGCAAGAAUUCUUGUAAAAUAGGGCUACAGCACUUAAACAAGGCUCUGCAGGGAAACCUGUACUGCUGCUACUCGUCCUAGGUGUGCCAGAGGAAGAGCAGAUUUCUCUUACUAGGACUGAACAAAUACAUAAGCUGAGUUUUAGUGGAGGAAGUGCUCUGCACCAGUAGAGUGAGAACAUCGAAACAAAGGGAGAAUUAAACAGCAGAACACAGUGGUACAGGUGGAUCUUACACAGUGUGGCACAUACAGUGCUUCAGGGAUAUUUAUUUCAUAACAAGUUCUUUGCUGUUAACCCUCUGGAGACAAUUUACGCUUCUCUGGCAGUUGGAUGAAUAAGCAAACCUGAGUUUUCCCACCUGCUUUAUAGUUACAAUACAUCAAACUUUAAACUGCAAAUUGGCAAGUAUUGUUCCUACCCUCAUUCUGUCAGCUAGAAUUCCAUAUUGAGAUUAUUUGUGUACCACUUAUUUUUUUUAAUGUAGUAGGAAAAAGUUUAUUAAGAGCUGUAUCUACAGUAGAACUCUAAAGUUCUUUCCCGGUAAGUUAUUAGUAUCCUAUUUAUUCCUAUAAGAUUUUUUUUCCCUAUGGUAUAGAGUGUGGCACAAGCAGUUCAAACUUCCAGAUGAUUGCCCAAAUAGUAAAGAAGAAAAGAAAACGCACACAAUAUUCCUUGUGUGCUGUUGAACUAGGAUUUGUGGCAGGGACAACACAGAUACGAGUAGCUGCUGUUGUUACCCUGAUGUUGGAUACUGCAGUUCUUUCCACAUUGGUUUUGUAUUUUUCCAGCUGAAGGAAAAAAGUCUUUUAAAGUUACUGCAUAUUUUGUCAACUCUUUCAUUUUGACUCAGACCGUAUGAAGCACAUACAUAAAAGAAGUCUACAGAGAGAUAACUACACUAGUUUUCAGUGACAAGGUUUAUCUGUAUUUUAACAGUUAAACCCACUAUGUUAAUAAAACAAGACUUCUGAACAAUAAUCCUGCUCAGUUUCAGUAUUUUCCCCAUCCCUCGUAUUUUAGAAGAACACAAAUAGAUAAGCAUUGUAAAGUACAGCUCCAUCUUGAAUGAAGUAGGCAACUAAUUCCCAGCUUAUAAACAAAUCUAGCAGUUCCCUACAUGGCUGCAUAGCAAGAUUACGACUUAGUUACAAGGAGAUACUGCAGCUGCUUCUCCCAAAAUUUUUGUUAAUUUCUGGGGGAAAAAUCGCUUCUCAUGCCAGAAAAUGUCUAAAUUUUACAUGUAAUUAAAAAAUUUCUACCAGGCUUUAUCGUUGGAGAGCAGGAAGGGCAGUAACAUGUCCCUCAGAUACAGCUCGUACACCCUCAGGCAAGUUCACGGUCCCAGGCGAGCAGCCUCCGUUCCACUCUGCCUGCAGGAUUCCAAAAUCCCAAUUGUGAUCAUUGCUACAUAGGAUAAAGGGAAGAAUGUGAUGGAUACUUCUAUUUUCCAAGGCUUGACAUGGAGCAGCAUCUCUGGGGGGAAAGAGGAGUUAAUCUUUGCAAGAGCUACUGAAAACAAUUUAAGUGUUGUGUGUUGUGUUGCUGACUGGUUAAAACUGAGGAGUGUUCAGACAAACAGCGUUUAACCUCUGCAGAUCCAUGGAUCUGUCUGACCCUGUCACACUUAUCAGUUUAAGAGUGUUGAAUUAUAAAUGAGAUGCCUGAUGUAAAACAAAAGAGUCUCAGAAUACUCCAGUAUGUUGACCCAGUUUCUGACUGCCAAGUCAGAAAGAGUGUACAGCUACUACUCUGGGAUCUUCCACUUCCCAACUCCAAACACACGAGACUACAGGAUUACCUCAUGAAGCUCUGCCUGUGAGACUUGUGCUGUAUGAUGUAUUUAAACUUCAUUAUGUGUUUGGAGAUAAGCUGUUAGGAAUGAGAACAGAACAAUUGUAUUUCACUUUCCUAAGUGAAAUUCAACUCUAUUAAAUAAGAAGUAAUACUCUAGGUGAGAUAUUUUUGAAAGGAAUUUGUUCUACAAAGUUUAGAUAGUAUUUCUGUACCAAACAUUUAAUUCAACAAAGGAUUGGUUACAUCAAAAGUGAUCGAAUUUGAACAGAAAGUAAACAAAAAUGCAUAUUCAAGAUAGUUUAAUAUGUAUUUUCUGAAUUAGAAAUAUCACUUUCUUAAAUGAAUGAGAAUCUCUAGUGUAAUGAUCCGUUACUCCCCUCCC